GGGGAAGCAAGGAGUGCUGGAUUUAUCUCAGUACGCAAGCCAGUAUUUCCACUUCGUUUCCAAGGACCUGAAAAAUCAAACACUCCUCAGCUACUCAAAACACGGAGCCCCCGUCUACCUCGACUUCCAAGCGACCGUCGCACUGUGGCUGCAAGCAAUGAACAGAGAAGUGAGGCAGGUCGCAUCACCGUGGCUACGAAUGAUCUGAUCUCCCGGCGAUGGAGGAGGUUCCCUGAAGGACUUUGUUGUUCGGUUUGAGUUAAUGUGCUGAUAAAGUAAUUUGCAGUUUCCCUAAAUAUACACUCACUUUGUGUUUUGUAAUCUUUGGAUUAAAUGCCUUUAAAAAAAA